rnacentral:rRNA from 1 species
AUUGAACGCUGGCGGCAUGCUUUACACAUGCAAGUCGAACGGCAGCGGGGGCUUUGGCCCGCCGGCGAGUGGCGAACGGGUGAGUAAUGCAUCGGAACGUACCCAGUCAUGGGGGAUAACUACGCGAAAGCGUAGCUAAUACCGCAUACGCCCUGAGGGGGAAAGCGGGGGACCGCAAGGCCUCGCGUGAUUGGAGCGGCCGAUGUCGGAUUAGCUAGUUGGUGGGGUAAAGGCCUACCAAGGCGACGAUCCGUAGCGGGUCUGAGAGGAUGAUCCGCGACACUGGGACUGAGGCACGGGCCAGACUCCUACGGGAGGCAGCAGUGGGGAAUUUUGGACAAUGGGGGCAACCCUGAUCCAGCCAUGCCGCGUGAGUGAAGAAGGCCUUCGGGUUGUAAAGCUCUUUCAGACGGAAAGAAAACGCUCUCUCUAAUACAGGGGGCGGAUGACGGUACUGUCAGAAGAAGCACCGGCUAACUACGUGCCAGCCGCCGCGGUAAUAC